rnacentral:rRNA from 1 species
GAUGAACGCUGGCGGCGUGCCUAACACAUGCAAGUCGAGCGAACAGAUGAGGAGCUUUCCGCUCUGACGUUAGCGGCGGACGGGGGAGUAAAACGUGGAUAACCUCCCUAUACGACUGGGAUAACUUCGGGAAACCGGAGCUAAUACGGGAUAAUAUAUUGAACCGCAUGGUUCAAUAGUGAAAGACGGUUUUCUGUGACUUAUAGAUGGAUGCGUGGCGCAUUAGCUAGUUGGUAGGGUGACGGCUGACGAAGGGACCGAUGACUAGCCGCCGGGAGGGGAGGGUCGGCCGCCAUGCAGCGGAGGAGCUGCCGAGACGCCUACGGGAGGCAGCAGUAGGGAAGGUUACGGAAUGGGCGGAGGCAGGAUGGAGCAACGCCGCGGGGUGGAUGAUGGUCUUCGGCUCGUAGAAAACUGUUAUUGGGGAAGAAGAAAUGUCUACGUAUCUAUGUGCGUCUGGACGGUACCGGGUCAGAAAGCCACGGCUAACUACGUG